CACGUAGGGUGCGAGCGUUGUCCGGAAUUAUUGGGCGUAAAGAGCUCGUAGGCGGUGUGUCGCGUCGGCCGUGAAAACCUGCAGCUUAACUGUGGGCUUGCGGUCGAUACGGGCAUCACUGGAGUUCGGCAGGGGAGACUGGAAUUCCUGGUGUAGCGGUGAAAUGCGCAGAUAUCAGGAGGAACACCGGUGGCGAAGGCGGGUCUCUGGGCCGAAUACUGACGCUGGAGGAGCGAAAAGCGUGGGGAGCGAACAGG
rnacentral:rRNA from 1 species